rfam:Phaseolus vulgaris cultivar G19833 chromosome 9, whole genome shotgun sequence.
UUGACAGAAGAGAGUGAGCACACAGAGGCACCUGGUAUAGUUAUAUGCUGUUACUUUUGCGUGCUCACUUCUCUUUCUGUCAA